GACGAACGCUGGCGGCGUGCUUAACACAUGCAAGUCGAACGGAAAGGCCCUACUUUUGUGGGGUGCUCGAGUGGCGAACGGGUGAGUAACACGUGAGUAACCUGCCCUUGACUUUGGGAUAACUUCAGGAAACUGGGGCUAAUACCGGAUAGGACAUCCUGCUGCAUGGUGGGGGUUGGAAAGUUUCUGCGGUUGGGGGUGGACUCGCGGCUUAUCAGCUUGUUGGUGGGGUAGUGGCUUACCAAGGCUUUGACGGGUAGCCGGCCUGGGAGGGUGACCGGCAACAUGGGGACUGAGAUACGGCCCAGACUCCAACGGGAGGCAGCAGUGGGGAAUAUUGCACAAGGGGCGGAAGCCGGAUGCAGCAACGCGGCGGGCGGGAGGACGGCCUUCGGGUGGUAAACCGUUUUCGCAUGUGACGAAGCGUGAGUGACGGUAAUGGGUAAAGAAGCACCGGCUAACUACGUG
rnacentral:rRNA from 1 species